UACGAAGGGGGGCUAGCGUUGCUCGGAAUCAUUGGGCGUAAAGGGUGCGUAGGCGGCGCGGUAAGUCGGGUGUGAAAUUUCGGAGCUUAACUCCGAAACUGCAUUCGAUACUGCCGUGCUUGAGGACUGGAGAGGAGACUGGAAUUCCUGGUGUAGCGGUGAAAUGCGCAGAUAUCAGGAGGAACACCGAUGGCGAAAGGCAGGUCUCUGGGCCAUAACUGACGCUGAGAAGCGAAAGCAUGGGGAGCGAACAGG
rnacentral:rRNA from 1 species